CAUACCAUCCUUUUUCCCCGAUAAACACGCCAUACAAACUAACUUCAAUCAAUGGUGUUUUUAAUUGUAUUGAAAGAGUAUAAUAUAAUAUGUGCAAAAUAAUCUUUCUUAAAUUGUUUUCUUUUCUACCUAAGAUCGAGAUGAAGACCUUGGAGAUAACCUCUAGAGGCAAUCAAGACUAGCAAGGGACUGUGUCAAGUUUAGCCAGUUGACUGUGUCAAGUUUAGCCAGUUGACUGUGUCAAGUUUAGCCAGUUGACUGUGUCAAGUUUAGCCAGUUGACUGUGUCAAGUUUAGCCAGAUGACUCCUACCUACAUAUUCACCUGUUGAAGUGGUGUAGCAAUGUUGAGGCUAACUUACACUUUUUGGACUGAGACUGCUUGAUUGAGACGAUGACUUUGGACCUCUUGAGCCUUAUCAACACUUUAUUUUGAGUGCAACCAGCUGAAGAAGAACUGUGGCAAGUCUAGCCAGAUGAAUCUCUGCUUCAAGUUCGACCGCUCCGGUGACUGAGGGAUGUUGAGGUUACCCAACGCUUUUUGAACUGAGGGAAAAAGUAAAGACCACACCGCUUGAUUGAGACGAUGACUUUGGACCUCUUGAGGCUUAUCAACACUUUUUGGACUGAGUACCACCAGCUGAAGAAGAGCUGUGCAAGUCUAGCCAGAUGAAUCUCUGCUUCAAGUUCAACUGUUCAAGUGACUGAGGGAAGUCGAGGUUUACCAAUGGUCUCGGUUGGAAUGUGAUGACCUAUCAUCUGAUGAAAGAACUGUGUUAAGUCUAUAGACCUUUAUCACGCUGUCACCAUCUUGGUAAUGUUCCCUGUCUUCCAAUAACGGUCAUGAAUGCUGACAUUCAUUGCAUAUGUCACCAGACUAUUAAUUCGUCUAGCCUCAGUUUGGUUACAACGAGUUGGAAUGGAGUAAAAUCAAGAUGACCACACCGUGAUAAAGGUCUAGAGCCAGAUGGCUACUCACUACAAGUUUUAACAUUUUACCAACUGCUGCGAGGAUAAACCACCAUGGACUGACAGCUGAAGAGCUUUCAUAGUUGGAACAAUAAUGUCUUUUGGACUGGUGUGCCGCUAACUGAAGGACUGUCAAUUCUAUAGAUGAAUCUUCACUACAAGUUUGAACAUUACCAAGUGGCAAGGGGAUGUUGAGGAUAACCCCCCCCCCACAUUAUGGACUGACAGGCUGGAGAACUGCAUGCCUCAUUGCUCAUGUGACAUAAUUAUGUUUUUGAUCACCACUGCCUUAAACUGAGUGCCAUUUACUGUCAAAUGGACAGUCAAUUCUAGCUAGAAGACUCUCCACUAGAAGUAACUGUCACUAAUAACGUAGUAGUGAUGUUUUACACCAUGCUUUUUGGACUGUCACCAACUGAAGAAAGAACUGUGUCAAGUCUAUAGCCAAAUGAAGCUGGACCAUGAUGGCGCCCAAAAGCACAGGUCAUAAGUACUUCCUGCGACUGCGAUACAAAUUUUGAUGUCACAAAUUCAACAUGAAUAAUUUACAUCAGCUGACUUGUGCCCAACUUCUGCGAACAUUCACCGCGAAAAGACGAUUGUGAGGUCAACAUUCAAAUUGCAUUCCAGUCGCAGGAAGUAUGAACCAUGGCUUUACUGUAAGACGACACUCAAGGGAGGACAAUCUUAUGCCAUUUCUGAAUGUGUGGUUAUACGGCUUUGGCUUCAGCUGUUGCUAUGGGCCUCAUACCAUACUUUGACACAUAUGUGACAAUCAAGCUACAUCCUCAGCCACUAUUUCAGAUAGAGCCUUAUUGUAGUUAUUUUAUCUUGAAUCCAUCAAACUCCAAUCACAGAUUGUACAAAUAUCGCUGUGUGUACUUACAUCAGUUUGAUCUAAAAGAAUUACUUCUGGCCUCAUGCCAAGCAUGAUUACUUCACAGAAUGGACAAUUAAAUUCAUUGAGUUUAAGUACAAUACCUGUUGGAUUUUGAUGGUUUCAAAGUAGUUAUUAGGAAUGCAGCUCUAAAGAUGGUGCAAUUUUUGUGAAGAAAAACAAACCCAACCACCAAUAAACAAUCAAUUAAAUCAUGAGAUAUUUGUACUUUUUGCAAAAACCUUUUGACUUCAAAUGAGGGAAAAAUCUGAACUAUACUUUAGGUGAUUAAGUGGAAGAAUUGAACAAAAUUAAUCGCAAGUCACUAAACAGUUCUCAGAAAUGUUAGAAAUUCAAGAAAGGGUCAGGUUUAAUCUGUGUAAUUUGCAACAGACUAAUUUACAAAUUCAAGAAAAUUACCAAAACAUACCUAUUUCAUCAUUAAUCAACUUAUUGCAGUCAAGUGGCUUUCAUUUCAUUUAAUUCAAUUGAUUUUUCAUUUAUUUAUUUAUUUUCCUAAACUAAAUAUUUUUGUAAGCGCUGUGAUUUAGUUUUCUAAGUAGAGCGCAUUUAAAAUGUCGUUUAUUAUUUUUAUUAUAAUUAUUGAUGCUAUAUUGUGAACUACUUUCUUGAAUUAUUUUGAGGUAAUCGUUUUUGUGUGUGAGAUCAAUUAAUCAAAUUGGUACUAGGCCCUUCAUUUUAACUUACCAUAUCGCUGAAAAAAAAUAAAAAAAUGGGUGCGAAAAUUUAAAGUGUACAGUUGAGUGCAAAAUAGACAAAAUCGCAUGUGUUUCCAAAAUGCGCGAGCAAUGCAAACUACAAAAAAAACAUGGCAACACUCACAACAAACAGGGCUCGGUUUCACAAACUGCUAAGAUCAUUUUAAUCUUAAUUGCUAAGCACAAGUGUGAUGUCACAAUACAAAUCACUAUGGAGAUAUUGACAACUCAUCUUAAGAUGAAUUUUAAUGUUUUGUGAAACGGAGCUCCCACCUAACUGAACUAUCUCUUUCGCAUUCUAACUUAACCUUAGUCUUGCUCCAAGGCAUCAGAGAUCGAGUGUACUACGCGAGGCAGUCAAUUUGGUUAAAUCAUACAAUAGGAGGGUGCGUAGUACACUAUCCACUCAUUGAUCACUGAUGUCUUGAGCCAAGACUGACUUAACCAAAGCACUAACACCACUUGAACAAAUCACUCACUUUAUUUCAUUAUUAAUACCUUACCCUCAGCACCAAUCUGCAUAUUCAGCUAAAAUUAAAGGGUUACUUAACAUGCAUCUUGUCUAGUCGCACUCAAAAAAGACUUUGUUUUCAGUUUUGUAGAGCCUGUACUUAUUUACUGUAAACUUAAUACAUGUAGUUUAAGCUUGUUAUGCAUGUCAUGUUUAUUUUAAACGGAUUUUGAUAAUAGGCAUACUUUCUUUAAUUUGUCGGAAGCCUCAUGACUGCGUAAUUUUUACAGAUGUAUUCAAGGAUUUGGUAAUCGCUUUAAAGGCAAAACAAAUAUUGGGUAGAAGCCUACUCAGCAGCUUUCAGUAUAUUUUGAAUGCAGUUUAAAUGUAAAAAACAUUGGUGUUUGCAGCAACGCUUCUUAGAUUGUGUAAUUAUAUGUCGGGAUUCUCCCUCCAUGGAAAUAUUCGCUGCAAUUUUUUAACAAUAUCUCUAAAUCUAGACCAAUGUGAAAUUUUUAAAUGAUAGUUUUAAUGUAUUCAUCUGCAUUUAUAUAGAGAUAAAGUUUGACUUUCUAAAGUCCCUCGGAAUAUUGUUAAGAUUAGUAAAUGGAGAUUGUUAAUUGGAAGUAUUGUGACUAAUUUAAACAAUUGAAGUUAAAUUAGAAUUUAAUAUCAAAUCAUUAAAAUGCAGAAUUUUACCCUCCUAAUAUUGAGUAAUUUGGACUUGAAAAUAGCCUCGUGUACUUAUCAAGUGUUGCCUGAAAAUGUGUACGUAUCAAAUUUUUCCCCAAAAGUGUAAAAGGCCUUGUGUACUCAUCAAAUUUUGCCUCAAAAUGCCUGAAAAUUCCCGUACACAAGGCACAUCAAAUUUUGCCCCAAUGUGUACAAGGCUAUAGCCUUUUGUACCCA